rnacentral:rRNA from 1 species
GAUGAACGCUGGCGGCGUGCCUAAUACAUGCAAGUCGAGCGAACAGAUAAGGAGCUUGCUCCUUUGACGUUAGCGGCGGACGGGUGAGUAACACGUGGGUAACCUACCUAUAAGACUGGGAUAACUUCGGGAAACCGGAGCUAAUACCGGAUAAUAUUUCGAACCGCAUGGUUCGAUAGUGAAAGAUGGUUUUGCUAUCACUUAUAGAUGGACCCGCGCCGUAUUAGCUAGUUGGUAAGGUAACGGCUUACCAAGGCGACGAUACGUAGCCGACCUGAGAGGGGGACGGGCCACCAUGAAACUGAGCAACGGGCCAACCCCCGAGGGGGGGCAGAAGGAGGGAAUUUUCCGAAAGGGGCGAAAGCCUGACGGAGCAACGCCGGGGGGGGGAUGAAGGGUUUCGGAUCGUAAAACUCUGUUAUUAGGGAAGAACAAACGGGUAAGUAACUGUGCAGGUCUUGACGGUACCUAAGCAGAAAGCCACGGCAAACUACGU